CGGAGUUAGCCGGGGUUUCGUUUACCAGGUACUGUCAUUAUCAUCCCUGGCGAAAGAGCUUUACGACCCUAGGGCCUUCAUCACUCACGCGGCAUGGCUAGAUCAGGCUUGCGCCCAUUGUCUAAGAUUCCCC
rnacentral:rRNA from 1 species